rnacentral:rRNA from 1 species
CCUACGGGUGGCAGCAGUAGGGAAUUUUCGGCAAUGGGGGGAACCCUGACCGAGCAACGCCGCGUGAACGAAGAAGUUAUUCGUAUUGUAAAGUUCUUUUAACAGGGAAGAAAGAGAAAUUUGACGGUACCUGAAGAAUAAGCUCCGGCUAACUACGUGCCAGCAGCCGCGGUAAUACGUAGGGAGCGCGCGUUAUCCGGAAAUAUUGGGCGAAAAGGGUUCGUAGAUGGAAUAGAAAGUCUUUUGUAAAAAUGAUGGGCUAAACCCAGUAGGGCAAAAGAUACUGCAAAGCUAGAGUAUGACAGAGGCAAGUGGAACUACAUGUGUAGCGGUAAAAUGCGUAAAUAUAUGUAAGAACACCAGUGGCGAAGGCGGCUUGCUGGGUCGAUACUGACAUUGAGGCACGAAAGCGUGGGGAGCAAACAGGAUUAGAUACCCCUGUAGUC